UAUAGGCAUGAGCCACUGCACCCGGCAUAUCGACCACCACCCUGAUCAGUCAGUCAGUAGUCAUCAAUACCAAGGCAAGACCCUCUAUAAGCAAAAGAUUAUCACUCACUAAAGACUCAUGAGCAUUAGCAUUUUUUAGCAAUAAAGUAUUUUUAAAUUAGGAUUUGUAUAUUUUUAAACAUAAUAUUAUUGCACAUUUAACAGACUAUAGUGUAGACAUAACUGUUUAUGUGCACUAAGAAACCAAAAAAUUUGUGUCAUUCCCUUUUUUGUGAUACUCUAUUGCAAUGGUGUGGAACUGAACCUACAAUAUCUCUGAGGUAUGCCUAUACAUAAUUAUAUACUAUUUUAUAUUGGUUUUGAGUCAUUUCAUGCAUGUAAAUUUGAGUGUCUUAAUUAAAUUGCAAUACCUUUAAAGUCAAAGACUGAGUCUUCUUUGGACUGUGUAUUCUCAUGACAGUGAACUAUUGACAUGGCUCAAGACGUUGACCCGUUUUGGUUCCUGAUGAAGUUUUGUUAAUUUAAAUGAGAAAAAUAAGGACAGUGAAAAACAGAGCUCUUAAAAAGCACUGUCUGGAUAUCUUCAGAGGGAAAAAGGAGAAAGUUAAUUGAAUCGGUGACACUUCAGAUCUCUCACAGAGGAAGAUUAGAUGAAGGUGACCUUCCCCUUCGCCAAGCGGAAUCUCCCAUGAGACUCAUGAAUCCUCUUUAGGCCAAUUACAGCUAUCACUUGUUAACUAUUGGAGUACCUUCAGUCUUAAAAGAGCUGCUAGAAAAUUAAGGCUGCAACAUGAAAGAAGAGCAAAUGGUCAGGCAUAUCACACGUUUUUAUCAAGUGAUUUGGUUUAGGACUUGAUAACCUGGUUAGUACUUGAGCACUGAGAGACAUUUUGAAUUUAAAGUAAGAUGGAGAAAGUGAAGGAAGCUAAAUUACAGAAGAUAGAAACACAAUCAAUCAUAUUCAGAACAGAAACAUCUUGGGCUUGAUGUCUGGGAACAAUGAGAAGAUUAGGCUGCUUUAGAACUUAGCUCUCAUUUGUUGUGGUGACCUCCACCUGCAAGAGGACACUCUCCCAUCCCCGUGAGACUGAGGUGAGAAUCACAAGACCACUGCCCUCUGUCUCAUCUUUUCUCCAAGCCUUAGGCCAUCAUGGGAUUCACUAACAUCAUUCACACGUCAGGAAUGAUAUAUCAGAGUGAUCCCCUCUUUCCUGCUCAUCUUUCUGCCUCUAGAAAAGACAGAAUUUCACUGUUUACCUCAGGAAACAUGAAAGUUAACGAUAAAUAUAAAUGAUAGAUGAAGCAAACAUUGAAAGCUAUAAAGUUGAAAGUAGGACCUAAUACCCUGUGGUAAUGUGUGCUCCUUUUUAAAAGAAAACACACAUGAGUCAUUUUAGAAAGGUUAAUUUGCGCUACCUCUCCAAAAUAUUCUCAGAAUAAUUGCAGAGAAAAAUUGUGACAAAACACUAGAGGCACCAUUGGUGAAAGAAAACUGUAUAUUCUUAUCUUUCAAUCAGGAAAGAAUAAUAUUUACUUGAUUGAAAUGAUUUUUUUCCUCAGAAACUGUAGUACUGGCUAUUAGAAAACAGAUAAUUUAAACUAUCAUUUCUCAGAAUGUUUUAUCUCCAUGACUCAAAGAUAGUUUCCCUCCGUGAGGAAAUAUCGCAGUGUUUGUUUUUGAGUUGUCAUCAAUACAAAGCAGCAGUACCUUCACAUAUACUGUGUUUCCAGCUUUUCAAAGCAUUUUCACUUGUUUCUCAAUUGUUUAUUACAAUAAUAACCCUGUGUUGACAUUAUUAUCUUCAUUUUACAAACGAGGCAGCUCAGAUUCAGACAUUAAGGGACCUUCACAAUAUAUUUAGCUGAUGGUGGCAGAACCAAGGCAAAACCCAAAGUCCUUGCCAAAGACCACUUCCAUUUGUCUUCAACGGACUCCCUGAGUUUUUCAUUGUUGUUCUUCUGUGGUAUGGCUGAAGCCCUCCAAAUUUGGAAAAGACAAGCAAGUACAAGAUAGGCACUUAGAUUAUCAUUCCUCAACUGGCUUCUCCACAGGCUUUUCCUCCUAAUAUAUAAAAAACAGCAAUAAAGGACAGAAGACUAACAUUUUAAACACUGAACUGUUGCUCAAAUUUACUCCUCCUGUAUAAUAUAAUUUGUUCUUAUAAGGUUGUAAAACUGCACUGCCUACUUAAAUUGCAUGUUUCACAUGUCUAUACUAUUCAGCUCCUUUUCUCAUCUCUGCAGUGCCUACCCCCAACAUACUACUGGCUAAACAAUUCCCAUGAAACAGUGUUUGAAUUUAAGAGGCAGGAUUGCGAGAAACACAAAUGGCCAUCCUCUCAUAUAUGUGCUUCUAUCACAGAAAUUUGAUUGUUCUCUAAAGGCAAGCAUGGAUUUUUUUUUUUCUUCCAGCAGCUUCAAGGUAAUUAUCUACUUAACCUGCAUAGUAGCAGUUGUUGGGGCUCAGAAAACCUGAAAAUGUACCAUUUUGGUAUGCUAAUUAUUUAAACUGAGGGCACUUGGGAAACAGCAAAUACAGGAAAGGGCUCUCUCUGAACUCCCUUAAGUGCCUGAAGAUAGGGCCUCCAAAAAGUAACACAAUUGUCAUAGGUAUCCUCCCUGGGAGUCUCAUCAGUGAAGGAAGAUUAAUUCACAGGAGACUCCAUCCUCCAGAAAGACUUUGUCACAAACUAUCCAUCACCUCUUCUUCCGAUGAGAUUCUUGGAGACAAUGUUUAUUACCUGAGAGAUGUUAUCUGUAUAACAAGACAACCUUUGUUCUCCAUGCAUUCCCUCCUCUUACUCCCCUGCAACUUGUAGAGACACCACCCCCCAUAAACCACCAACCCCUACUUCUAUCUUUAGCUCGGGAUUCUAUAAAAACUUCUAUCAUCUGGCCCCUCUUCAAGUCCUCUACUUUGUGGGACUCCUAUGUGUAAUUAAAAUAGCUUUUCUCCUACUAAACUGUCUACUGUCAGUUUAUUUCGUAGAUUCAAUUAUUGAACCUUCAGAGGAUAGAAAAUUUUCUCUCCCCUACACAAUUAUAAGAGUAAUUUGGAAUUUUACUUGUUGUUUUAUAUCAUUAGUUAUCUUUAUUUAUAUACACGCAUAUGUCCUCUCACUUUAUCACUCCAAAUGAAGUGAUAUGCACAUAUAUAUAUAAAAUACAUAUUUCAUAUUUCUAUGUCCUGUUUUCCCUCCAUCCCUUGCAUUUUGCCUUGUGUAUUGUUAGUGUUCAAAUAAAUAUUUGUUAAACAAAAAGGAAAUGAAAGAAUGAAAAGUUCUACAAACCUAUCAAUAGUAAACAAUAGUGGCUGUACUUUUCUUUCAGAGAAACAAGUCAACAGUUUUCAAACAAAAUCAGUCUUGGUGAUAUUUCCUAAUGACUUAGCAGUCAACAAUUCCCAGCUCAAAAAAUUAAAAAAAGAUAAAACAAUACAUUACCUUUAUCGUUAUGAAUGUCUUCAAAAAUAAUUUGUUCAUUAUAAAUUUAGUUAUGAUUUAAUUGUUUUGUGAAACCAUUGGGAAUAUAUUUCAUUUUGUUUCUUGUUCUUGUAGGGAAGAAAAACUAAUUUUCUCUGUACUCUGUAGUUCUUAACUGCAAUUCCUGGUAACAAAAGACAAAUCAACAAGCAGAAGUUUAUUAAAAUGUAUACUUAAUGUUACAUGUUACAUGGGAGAAGAUCCAGAGAAAUGAGUACAUCUGUGCAGCAAAUCUCAAAGUUUAAACUUUAGGAUAAAUGCCAUUGUUUUUUGAUACAAGAAAGAAGGAUGCAAGGAAAGACCCAGCUCAGAGGAAAUGACUAGGAAAAGUAUCUUAAACAAAGGUAAUGGGGAAUCCUAAUUAGGGAAAGGGAGUCAGGCUGGUGGGACCAAGGGAAAGCAAAAAGAAAAAGCAGAUAAGCUAUAACUCUGCCUUUCUUCGUGGUCCAGAACACAUAGCUCUCCUACACAAAUAACUCACAAUCUUCCUGUGUCCAGCUAUCACCAGACUCUGUUGAUCAAAAAAUGCAAGUUAGCUCACUGCAACCUUGACCCGUUAUCUGUGUUGCACAAAGCCCUCUUCAGCACACAGCACAAGCACCAUGCUAUAAAAUCACCAACAAGCCUUUGUCUCUUUGUAGUCAGCUCCUCUCUUGCUGAUUUGCCCGCGGCUGUCUUACAAUGUGUUUUCCUACUUUCUCUAGUAAAUCUGCCUUUCUUUACCUCCAACUGUGUUGGUAAAUUAUUUUAACCACCCAUCUGGCACCGGCCCCAGAUAGUCACCAUCUGCAACAGAUAAGGAUGAUUAUGCAAAUUUAAGUCAAUACCUUUUCCAUUUUGUUUAAGAGUCAUUAGUGAUUUAGUGUCCUUUUCUUCCUGAUGCAGGGAGAAAGACCCUUACAAAUAAAGUUUCCUUUUACAGUUGUAAAUUUCUCUUUCUAAAAAAGUAACUUUUUAGGGCCAAUUCUGUGUCUGGUAUUUCUCAAAAUAACUCAUUCAAAAUAAUAUGUCAAAGAUUUAGGGUGACAUAUUCUGUUCUUCUACAGUCAUAUUUUGGAGUAGUGUACUUUGAGCACUGCCAUAUUCCUGUUUAAAACUUUCCCGAGAAGUUUCACAAUCCAGAAACUGAGUUGGUAGAUUAUCCCAUGACCUAGGACUUUUUUAUGAAAACAAAAGGAAAAGGUUAAUAGUUAGAAUAAACUAUAACCUAGUCUUUUAGUUUGGAGUGCAGACAGUCAAGAAAGUUUCUAAAUGUUUGCCUUAAAGCAUCUUUUGCAGUUUGAAUACCUCCAGUGAUGGCUGAGUGGCCCACAGCAACAAGCAUGAAGGUUGUCCAUACAUGAGCUGUUACGAUGAUUCAUCUGCAGUUUAUAUCAAGUAGUCCAGUUUUAGCUCACAGGGCUUUAGUAAAGGGGCAGUCUUUAUUUUUAGUGAUUCCAUGUCAGAAAGGUGGAAGAAAAUUUGAAAUGUUAGUUUUAAGAGUUUUGCAAAGUCUUAGCCAAAUAUUAGAACAAUUCAGGGUCAGUUGAAGUUUAUAGGUAGAUAGCAAAACCUCAGAGACAAUAAACAGGAGUAGAGUCUAAUAACAGGUGUACCAUAGUUUUCUAUUGGAACAUAAUUUUUCUCUCUACAGCCACCCCUACUUCUGCCAAAGAUUGUUGCAGUAAGAAUAAUUAGUUUACAAAAUAAGUCUACUGUUGUCAUGUCCUGAUUAUUUAAGUAAGUAUAGCAAGAGUAGUGAUUAACCAGAAAGGCUCUUUUUAAGUUGGCUUCACUGGAACUUUAAUAAGAAAUCUCAGAUUGGACUUUUUAAAGCAUCAUAAGACUAAGAUGCCAACCCAAGAACUUGCCAUCAGAUAUUGUAGCAGGAUAAAUUUUUUUUCCUGUCACUCCUUUUUCUGUACUCUGCCUAUUUCUGUGAAAAGAGAGAGUUAAUUAAAAAAAAAAAAGAUUGAUAUUCAGCAUAAUAACAGGCAGUCAAUAUUAGCAAGAGUAAGGGGUUUUGGUCUAAUAAAUACUAUGUUUUAAAGAAAUUAAGAGUUCAAAGCCUCACUUGAAGAUUUACAAUAUCAAUCUGAUGUCACCCCUCAGACUGAAGCCAGGAUAUUUGCUUAAAACCUUGAUGCCUUUGAAGAUUCCACUUCAGGAUGGAUUCAAGUACUUGGCAUUGGGUGUGGGGAUAAACAGAGGAUAGAAAAAGUAUAAAGAACCUUGGAAAGAGAGAGGAAGACCAGAGGGAGAGAGAACAAUGUGCAUGUACUCAUCUGGGAACCAAUAUUGUGUAGUGGUUAAUGUCAGCUUCUCUGGAAUCAGAUGGCCAAGGUUAAAAUCAGCCACCUUGUUAAAUGAGGAAUAUAAUAGUCAUAACAUCAAAUAAUUAUUUUAAGGGUAUAAACUUUCCCAAGAAGUUUCACAAUCCAGAAACUGAGUUGGUGGAUUAUCCCAUGACCCAGGCCAUUUUUAUGAAAACAAAAGGAAAAGGUUAAUAGUUAGAAUAAAUUAUAACCUAGUUUUUUAGUUUGGAGGGCAGCCAGUCAAGAAAGCCUUAAACAUCUUUUUCAGUUUGAAUACCUCCCCUGCUAGUAAAGAUUUAUUUUAUUAGCAGUGUGAGAACAGACUAAUACAGUUAAUUGGUACUG